UACGAAGGGGGGCUAGCGUUGCUCGGAAUUAUUGGGCGUAAAGAGCUCGUAGGCGGUCUGUCACGUCGGCUGUGAAAACCCGAGGCUCAACCUCGGGCCUGCAGUCGAUACGGGCAAACUAGAGUACUGCAGGGGAGACUGGAAUUCCUGGUGUAGCGGUGAAAUGCGCAGAUAUCAGGAGGAACACCGGUGGCGAAGGCGGGUCUCUGGGCAGUAACUGACGCUGGAGGAGCGAAAAGCGUGGGGAGCGAACAGG
rnacentral:rRNA from 1 species